rnacentral:rRNA from 1 species
UGGGUCUAAUACCGGAUAUGACUCCUCAUCGCAUGGUGGGGGGUGGAAAGCUUUUGUGGUUUUGGAUGGACUCGCGGCCUAUCAGCUUGUUGGUGAGGUAAUGGCUCACCAAGGCGACGACGGGUAGCCGGCCUGAGAGGGUGACCGGCCACACUGGGACUGAGACACGGCCCAGACUCCUACGGGAGGCAGCAGUGGGGAAUAUUGCACAAUGGGCGCAAGCCUGAUGCAGCGACGCCGCGUGAGGGAUGACGGCCUUCGGGUUGUAAACCUCUUUCAGUAGGGAAGAAGCGAAAGUGACGGUACCUGCAGAAGAAGCGCCGGCUAACUACGUGCCAGCAGCCGCGGUAAUACGUAGGGCGCAAGCGUUAUCCGGAAUUAUUGGGCGUAAAGAGCUCGUAGGCGGUUUGUCGCGUCUGCCGUGAAAGUCCGGGGCUCAACUCCGGAUCUGCGGUGGGUACGGGCAGGCUAGAGUGAUGUAGGGGAGACUGGAAUUCCUGGUGUAGCGGUGAAAUGCGCAGAUAUCAGGAGGAACACCGAUGGC